rnacentral:rRNA from 1 species
GCAAGCGUUAUCCGGAUUUAUUGGGCGUAAAGAGAGUGCAGGCGGUUUUCUAAGUCUGAUGUGAAAGCCUUCGGCUUAACCGGAGAAGUGCAUCGGAAACUGGAUAACUUGAGUGCAGAAGAGGGUAGUGGAACUCCAUGUGUAGCGGUGGAAUGCGUAGAUAUAUGGAAGAACACCAGUGGCGAAGGCGGCUACCUGGUCUGCAACUGACGCUGAGACUCGAAAGCAUGGGUAGCGAACAGGAUUAGAUACCCUGGUAGUCCAUGCCGUAAACGAUGAGUGCUAGGUGUUGGAGGGUUUCCGCCCUUCAGUGCCGGAGCUAACGCAUUAAGCACUCCGCCUGGGGAGUACGACCGCAAGGUUGAAACUCAAAGGAAUUGACGGGGGCCCGCACAAGCGGUGGAGCAUGUGGUUUAAUUCGAAGCUACGCGAAGAACCUUACCAGGUCUUGACAUCUUGCGCCAACCCUAGAGAUAGGGCGUUUCCUUCGGGAACGCAAUGACAGGUGGUGCAUGGUCGUCGUCAGCUCGUGUCGUGAGAUGUUGGGUUAAGUCCCGCAACGAGCGCAACCCUUGUUACUAGUUGCCAGCAUUAAGUUGGGCACUCUAGUGAGACUGCCGGUGACAAACCGGAGGAAGGUGGGGACGACGUCAGAUCAUCAUGCCCCUUAUGACCUGGGCUACACACGUGCUACAAUGGACGGUACAACGAGUCGCGAACUCGCGAGGGCAAGCAAAUCUCUUAAAACCGUUCUCAGUUCGGACUGCAGGCUGCAACUCGCCUGCACGAAGUCG